ACACCUCAACUCUCAUGGCUUGCCGUGAUGAGCUUGGACUUUGGAGGUCUUGCCGGCCACCUAUGGGUUGGCUCCUCUCAAAUGAAUUAGCUUGCCAGUGUUUGGUGGCAUCACAGGUGUGAUAACUAUCUACGCUUGUGGUUUUCUGCCAGGUAACCUUCAGCAGUGGAGGCUCACUGGGGCUCAUAAACACCAUCCUCUCUUCAAUGAGGGGGAGGACAUGUUUUGAUU
rnacentral:misc_RNA from 1 species